UACGUAGGGUGCGAGCGUUAAUCGGAAUUACUGGGCGUAAAGCGUGCACAGGCGGUUUUGUAAGUCAGAUGUGAAAGACCCGGGCUUAACCUGGGAAUGGCAUUUGGGACUGCAAGGCUUGAGUGCGGUAGAGGAGACUGGAAUUCCUGGUGUAGCAGUGAAAUGCGUAGAUAUCAGGAGGAAUACCGAUGGCGAAGGCAGGUCUCUGGGCAUUAACUGACGCUGAGGAGCGAAAGCAUGGGGAGCGAACAGG
rnacentral:rRNA from 1 species